rnacentral:rRNA from 1 species
UACAGAGGUGGCAAGCGUUGUUCGGAAUUACUGGGCGUAAAGGGCGCGUAGGCGGCCCGUCAAGUCCCGUGUGAAAGCCCCCGGCUCAACCGGGGAACGGCGCGGGAAACUAGCAGGCUUGAGUUCGGGAGAGGGAAGCGGAAUUCCGGGUGUAGCGGUGAAAUUCGUAGAUAUUCGCAAGAACACCAGUGGCGAAGGCGGCUCACUGGCCCGAUACUGACGCUGAGGCACGAAAGCGUGGGGAGCAAACAGG